GGAGGGUCCAGCUCAGUGGCAGAGUGUGUGCUCAGCAUGCAUGAAGUCCUGGGUUCAAGCCCCAGUACCUCCA
rnacentral:tRNA from 1 species